CAGAGAUACUCUACUUAUGGAAAUGUAUCUGUGUCACAUGUUCCCUUUUUAAACCUGGAGAGGAGGUCUAUGCAAACUCUUCCUCUCUUAUAAACACACCAUCAGCAACUUGUGGCAGAACACUGGGACAGUUUUAUAUAUUUCUGAAAACGCUCAGAUCAGAGAGCUGAACUACAGUGUUUAUCACAGAAUGGAAAAUACAGUUAUCUGGAGUUUGUUCUUUGUAGUUACUAUUCAUGGAGUUUGGAGUGAGAUCAAACUGGACCAGUCUCCCUCUGAGGUGAAAAGACCUGGAGAGACGGUGAAGAUGUCAUGUAUCACAUCUGGUUAUAGCAUGACAAGCUACUAUAUUCACUGGAUACGACAGAGGCCAGGGAGAGCUCUGGAGUGGAUUGGGAGGAUGAACACAGGCUCAAACUCUGCUAGCUAUGCCAGCUCCUUUCAAAGCCGUUUCAUCAUGACUGAAGAUGUGUCCAGCAGCACUCAGUACCUCGAGGUCAAGAGCCUGACAGCAGAAGAUUCUGCUGUUUACUACUGUGCUCGAGAUACACAGUGACUGAAGACAGUGGAGCAGCUGCACAAACACCUCCACAGACAACAAACAGCAAUGUGAUCUACAUCAC